rnacentral:rRNA from 1 species
AUGGAAUACUACUUUGCAGGUACAAGCCAGCCAGCAUGGGUUGGUCUGAAGAGAGACCGGUCGGACGGCAAGCUCGACGCCACGGUGACGGACAAGCGGCACAAGUGCGAUGACAACAGUUGGAAGGCGGUCGCUGCGUAUGCACCGACGGCGGGUUCGAAGCGAGCCUACCAGCGAUCCGAGGACGAGAUUGACCCAGUGUUCAUCGACAAGCGGUACAAGGGCAACUACUGGGAGGACCCUGCUUACGCGGCGGUGGUACGGUUCGGCGGGAGAAUGAGAGCCAUGGACGAUGCUUUCGACAACGAGAGCGAGCGGAUGCGGAAGGAUUACGCCGAGCAGCGCGCCGCCAGGCUGCGUGAGCUAGUGCGUAAGAACUUGAUAAGUGCAGAUGCAUGCGAGCCAGUAUGGGUUGGGCUGAAGAGAGGCCACGAGCGGUCGGACGGCAAGCUCGACGCGGCGGUGAUGGAGAAACGGCACAAGUGCGAUGACAGCAGCUGGAAGGCCGUCGCUGCAUAUGCACCGGCGGUGGGGGCGAAGCGAUCCUACCAGCGAUCCGAGGAUGAGCUUGACCCAGUGCUCAUCGACAAGCGGUACAAGGGCAACUACUGGGAGGACCCUGCUUACGCGGUGAUCCUACGGCUUCGUGGGGGACGUAAAGCCAUGGACGACGCUCUCGACAACCGCGUCGAGCGUCUUAUCAAGGAGUUGGAAGACGAGCGCGCCGCCACACUGCGUGAGCUACGACGCCAACACAGCAGCUGCUGCAAGAAGAAGCGCAGGUCGACCAAGUGGAGGCAGAGCGCGCCGAUCCUGGGCGACGACGACCAGUGCGCGCCGGGCGGCGAGGGCUUCGCCAAGCGGUAUCGGCUGGGCGCGGAGCUGGGGCGCAGGGCGUUCGGGAUGACACGCCAUUGCGAGCACGCGGCCACGGGCGAGGCACUGACCUGCAAGACCACCCGCCGCAAGCGGCUGCGUCGCGCCGCCAACGCCGAGGACGUGCAGCGGGAGGUGGAGAUCCUGCGGCGCAUGUCGGCGCGGGCGGCGCCGUGGUGCGGCUCCGCGAGGCCUGCAAGGACGCCGAGGGCGUGCACCUGGUGA